rfam:Burkholderia sp. TSV86 TSV86_81, whole genome shotgun sequence.
AUAGUUUGGACUAGUACGUAUUUGCUUCCGACGCACGAUAUUUCUAUGGCACGCAGGGAGCAAGUCCGGAUGUCUCAACCCCCGUCGAGACGUCCGGAGCCGUUGAAGCGGACAUCCAUGCGGCUUAAAGCCGGCCCCGAGUGGAUGUCCGCUGAUUUUUUU